ACAAUAAAACUUGACUUGUACAGAUAUAAAAGGGGCAACAUUCUCCCUUUUACAACAGGUUCCAUGUUGGCAACUGCUAAGCAGAGGUGGCUAAGAAAAGCAGAUCAGUAGUAAAGUAAGAAGACUUGGGAGUGAGCCAUGAGGUCUCCAGGUGUCACUAAUGUAUUCCAGGGCGAUGGUCCGGAAGAGACAGAAGGAGAAGAUCUCCUAGCUGGAUGCAAGAUGCUGAGAUGGGGAGGAAGAGUUGAACAGAGAGACCUGUGCCAAGUGGGACAUCCUCAGCUUCACUCUGCAGAAGAUGCAGACUAAUGAGAUCUACCCUAAGAGUAGAAUGAGUGAUCAAGAAGAGCUCUGCUUUUUCUCAGAAAGCAAAUGGAUACAACUGUGACUUCUCAGGCAUCUUCCAGUUGAAAGUUGAAGAAUCUGAG
rnacentral:lncRNA from 1 species